rnacentral:rRNA from 1 species
AUGAACGCUAGCGGCAGGCUUAACACAUGCAAGUCGAGGGGCAUCGGGAGUAGCAAUACUGCCGGCGACCGGCGCAAGGGUGCGUAACGCGUGAGCAACAUGCCCGUAUCAGGGGGAUAAUCCAUGGAAACGUGGUCUAAUACCCCAUAGUAAUUAUGUAAGGCAUCUUAUAUAAUUUAAAGCUUUGGUGGAUACGGAUUGGCUCGCGUGACAUUAGCUAGAUGGUAAGGUAACGGCUUACCAUGGCUACGAUGUCUAGGGGUUCUGAGAGGAAGGUCCCCCCACACUGGAACUGAGACACGGUCCAGACUCCUACGGGAGGCAGCAGUGAGGAAUAUUGGACAAUGGAUGGAAAUCUGAUCCAGCCAUGCCGCGUGCAGGAAGAACCGGCCCUAUGGGUUGUAAACUGCUUUUGUAUGGGAGCAAUAAGGGCUACGCGUAGUCCGAUGAGAGUACCAUACGAAUAAGCACCGGCUAACUCCGUGCCAGCAGCUGC